AAAAGUUUCCAACCAUAACCUGUUCCGACCGUGUAACAUAAGUUCCCUCAAGCUGACCUUGUUUGUUCAAAAACACGUGCAAUUCUCCUUUAAGACAUCACGUUGCGUCAGAUUGCCAAUACACGUCACGUGACGUCACAGGGAACAGUCAAAGAACAAGAUGGAGGAGUAUGCCAGAGAACCAUGCCCCUGGAGGAUUGUGGACGACUGUGGGGGAGCCUUCACCAUGGGAGCAAUUGGAGGAGGAAUUUUUCAAGCAGUAAAAGGCUUCAGAAAUGCACCCUCAGGAAUGAACCACCGAAUGAGAGGUAGCUUGACUGCCAUCAAGACUAGAGCCCCACAGCUUGGAGGAAGCUUUGCAGUAUGGGGAGGCCUCUUCUCCAUGAUUGACUGUGGUUUAGUAAAAGUACGAGGGAAGGAGGAUCCCUGGAACUCAAUAACAAGUGGGGCCAUGACAGGAGCUAUCCUUGCUGCGAGAAAUGGACCAGUAGCCAUGGUAGGCUCUGCAGCCAUGGGAGGUAUCCUGCUGGCGUUGAUAGAAGGUGCUGGGAUCUUGCUUACUAGGUUUGCCUCUUCACAGUUCCCGACUGCAAAUACAUGAAUCUGCCUGUAGUGAAACAGACAGAGGCUCACAGACAAAUUGGGAGCCUUGACCAAUCAAUGUAGAUAGGGGCCCCAGUUUGCAGAGGAACCCGCCCCAGCUCCCAUGCCCUCCCCCACCUUUGGAGACUACAGACAAUACCAAUAAGAGGACUCCCCCACUUCUUAUGUACUAGGCCUUUUUGAAUUCCUUGCUGAUGUUACAAAGAAGAAAUGGAGAUGUCAAAUACCACACAUCAAAUAAUAGCACCCAACUCAAUGGACUGUGUCAAGUGAAGGACAAAAUACAUCUUCAUUUUCCUUCUUUCAAGAGCCAUGUACAGAUCAGCCUUUUGCCAUUCUCAGCCUUAUCAUGUGCAUCUGUUUCACCUCACAUCGCUUUAAUACAGACAUGUGGUGAGAUUUGUUGUUGGAUGGUUUGUGGGAAGAGGUGUUUUCUCUGUUUUUUCAUUCUGCAUGUAGCCCAUCAAGAGGGAGAUCAAGACAAACAAGCUCUGUUGACUCUAACAAGUACACAUCACACAAAGACAUCAUGAGUUAUAUGCAAGGAUGGUAUACUUAUGUGUAUAUACAGUAAACGCUUUCUGUUUCUGUUCACUUAUGUUAGUCUUUAUUUGCUUUACAUAUUGUCACCUGCUUGGGCUGGCCACUGACAUUUGGCUGGCCCUUUUUUAUAAUUUUAGAGUUACAAAGGCAAGCACCAAUCAGAUACAAUGCUAUCCCUGCAAUAUGGAAUUGUUUCAAAGUGGUUUAUUUAUUUUAGAUUGUACAGAGUUAGAUAAUUAAUUUGUAUGUGACAGCGUUUUUACAUUCAACACAAAGGUGUGGAUAAGGCUAACACUGACAAAGGAUGGCUUAGGCAGUACAAAUGGUGAAACUCAAGCAAGGGAUUGAUGCAUACUGUAUGAAAUCUGUAUUAUAGAAUAUUCUAUGGUACAAUAAA